GUUGGGCGCGUGCGCAGUGGCCAUCUCGAGGCAGCGACUGGCGGUAGCGUUUGCACGGCUGCGGCGGGGCCGGACGCCCUGGCUGUUAUCGCGUCUUUCUUCUUAUCGGGUCCUAUUGGGGAUUUGAGUGUGUAGAUAUGAACGUCGUAACGGGCAGUGGUUCGGUCUCCCGUUCCCCGUCCCGCGCUCCGGGGUGCGAGCUGGGCUUUGGCAGUUCUCUCAUAUAAGUCAUGCUCCUGUGACACGUGGUUGCCCUUCUAGCAUGAAAAGGAACGGAGGGUCUUGCUGGCACCCCACAAUGUGAGGCUAAUUUGCUUCUUGCCAAUUGCUAUGCCAGGGAAAUGUUUAUGCUGCGAGUAUAAGGGAAACAACCACAGGGAGAAGCUAUUCACAGCCAACCAGCAUCUGCUGUGUGGACUCACCUCCGUUUACUGAAAUCAGUGCACUGGCAAGGGCUUGACUUGUGUCAUCCCCCAAGGUGAUGUUUACACAGUAUGUUCCAGGUUCUUCAAAAGCUCUCCUUAUGGU